GGACCCGCACAAGCGGUGGAACAUGUGGUUUAAUUCGAUGCAACGCGAAGAACCUUACCUGGGCUUGACAUGUUCACGAAAGUUCUGUGAAAACAGAACCCUCUGCGAGCUUGCUCAAAGACGUGAUCACAGGUGAUGCAUGGCUGUCGUCAGCUCGUGUCGUGAGAUGUUGGGUUAAGUCCCGCAACGAGCGCAACCCUUGUCCUUAGUUGCCAGCGGUUCGGCCGGGGACUCUAGAGAAACUGCCAGCGUAAGCUGUGAGGAAGGUGGGGAUGACGUCAAAUCAUCACGGCCCUUACGUCCUGGGCUACACACGUGCUACAAUGGUAGGGACAGAGAGUUGCCAACCCGCGAGGGUGAGCUAAUCUUCAAACCCUAUCUCAGUUCGGAUCGGAGUCUGCAACUCGACUCCGUGAAGUUGGAAUCGCUAGUAAUCGC
rnacentral:rRNA from 1 species